GCUCCUGUAGUGUAGUCCGGACAAUCAUGCGGCCCUCUCGAGGCCGCGACUCGGGUUCAAAUUGUCGCAAGCGAGCAUACUUGCGCAUGCAAGUCCCGACAGGAGCA
rnacentral:tRNA from 1 species